GAUGUGUCAUGGCGUCCAAUUAUGUGCCUGACGUGCUAGUGCUCUUAUGGUCCAGAUAAACUUCUAUAUAGGCUUUAAAAUACGUCAAUUUGCUGACCAUACAGUUCUACAUUGGCCUAGUAUUAAUGGUAAUGCAUGCAAGGAAACUUCCAAGGCUCAGCGAUGGGUAUUUUGACAGAACUCAGGCCCAUCCGUACGAGAACUCGAGCAAGUACAGCUCAAAGUCUAACCUUGGAAGUCGAUACAACGACAAAGUCCGUGAGUCGCCUUCAAAUGGUAGCCAUAGCCGGAUGGGUAGCCCAGACAGCCGACACAGCCCACGCUACCACAAAUCAUCGUACAACCAGAGACUCAAAGAUCGAGAGAAAGACCAUGAAAGAGUGGUGGGUUUUGCACAGUCUCCUUCAAGAGAUGACGCCACGCUGUGUGACCAGGGCGGCAGCAUCCGGUGUGCAGCGGAUGGUUGGUACAUUAGGUACGUUCACGAGAGCAAGUACAAGAAUUCCUCAUCAGGGUCAAGCAAGUCACCAGCCUACAAGGACCGAUUCAGCAAGAACAGCUCAUUGGGCAGCAGUUCAAGCACCAGUGCAAAAGAUGUGCACUUGUCCAAGCCUCGACCAGUGGACACCACUACCCAUCGUACCAAUCAUGAGAAAAGCCAUGUUGAGCUGCAGCAGCAGCAGCAACAGCAACAACAACAACAACAGCAACAACAACAGCAACAACAACAACAACAACAACAACAGCAGCAGCAGCAGCAGCAGCAGCAGCAGCAGCAGCAGCAGCAACAAACGCAGCAGCAGCAGCUGCCGCAACAGUCACAGCUGCAGCAGGAGCAGCCAGCGGAGAGCAAAGACAGGCGUCAGCAGGUGGGGGACUGGUCAGAACAUGUCAGCUCAUCUGGGAAGAAGUACUACUACAACUGCAGGACUGAGGUCUCUCAGUGGGAGAAGCCUAAGGAGUGGAUUGAUUGGGAAAAACAACAGCCUGGUGGCAAUAACAGUGGAGCUAACCAGCCUACACCCAGUGACCCAGGUGGGGGGCGGCCCAAGUCGCGCACACAGCAACGUACACCGACUUCUGUGGCUUCUCCAGCACCCACAACAGCUUCGGGUGCUACCACAGCUACUGUCACUACCUCCAAUAGCAACAUCCAGCAGAACGAGAAGCAUUCCACUGGCAGCAGCAGUAGCAGUAGUAGCAGCAGCAGCAGCAGCAGCAGCAGCAGUAGCAACUCUGUGGUGUCUAGCUCGACCCGAGCUUACCAGCAGCCAGCAACAAGGCAACAGAAUGACACGCGCAAGUGUCUGCAGCAGCGCAAUGUGGAUCCUCGAAAAGAUGCGCAGACACAGGACAUGGACAUUUCUCCACCAGGGGGAGGUGGGAACACGCCAAACAGUACACCUGAUCCAGCCCGCACAGCAUCCACGAUGCUUCUGCCUCAGUCGCCAGUGACGCUUGCCCAGCUGCCCAAGAUGAUGUCGCAGCUGGCUGGCACACGUGGACUCCCCAAGCUGGAUGACAUGUCACCACAGGAAGCAUUUAGAACCAUACAGCAAGCUAUCCAGUUGACAAAACAGGCACAAAGUAAAAAAAUAAACCAUUUAUUCAUCAGCUCAGGGCAAAGGCAUGACGGAGGAACUGGAGUGGCUGGAAUGACGGCUCAGGUGGAAUCGACCAAGGAGGCUGCCAGUUCAUCACCUUACCAGGGUUUGCACCCUGGCCGCAGCCUACCACCCCUGCAGCAGCAACUGGGGCCAGCUGACAAGCUCCUGGUGGAUGCAGACCGACGUGGUGCUUCACCUGGCUCUGACUACAGUGCUCACUCUGCCAGGUCGAGAGACAGCCCAACCUCCAGCGUGAGCAGUCUGCACAGCCUCAGCGGCACAGGCUCGCUUGUAUCUGCCGUGCUCAAGCCCUCGGCCCCCAGCCUGACCCCAUCACUGGCCAACUACUACAACGAGUCACUCAUUGAGCAUGUCACAGGCUGGCAGGCCGACCAUGCGGAGCGACAGGCAAACCGGUACAGCGAGGAAGCGCACAGCUUAGGAAGUUUAAACUGCACACGAGUUUCGGCUGAGCUCAAAAUGGCCCGCUCUCUUGUCCGAUUGUCUGAAAUUCAAGCAACAGUACAAGAACAGAGAACCACAGGUGACGCCCAUGGACUGGUGGAGGGCUGUAUGAUAUCGUCGGUCCCUAUUUUUACGACAACUAAUUAAGGAGCUGGAGGAGCUGAAAAGCCAGGUGAACUUUAUGUCUGACUCAUAGUGAGUUUAGGUCGAGUUUUAAGGAACCAAGUUGCCACAUGGAGCAACGCCGGCCGGACCCGGCGUACAGCAGCAGCAGUCUGCCGAGCCACACCACCUCUUUUUUACACAAUGCCCGGUUUCAAGCAGUACGCCCUCCCCAACCAGUCCUGCCGUCACAGCGGGGUGGUCGGCAUGCUCGCCAUUUUGCCGAGUUUGUCGUCGUCGGUCACGAGUGCCGAUUUCUGUACAUAACACACUUGACGGGAGAAAAAUGUUCUCAAAUAAAAAUUAGCCUCGUGGCCGCAUGUGCGGUGAAAAGCCACUCAGUGAUGCAAGGAGUGGUUUGGAUGUGCAUAGCCUUUCGUGUGCCUUGCACGCUUGUGGACAUUUUGGUAAUUUUGACAAAAGGCUGGCGCAUCUGUCUGGCUGCCAUGUGUGUGUUGUACAUAUAAUGCGCAACCCCGGUCAUGCACGACCACUCUCCCGGGUUUCUCUGUUUCCUUUGUUGUAUAUUUCGAUAGCAUCUUGAAAAGGGUUUUCAGUCCUUGGCUGAAACCAGCACUUGCAGUGUACAUAACAUCUCUGUCUCUGCUCUGUGUGUGUGUGUUUUCAUCACUGCGCAUUGGGGUAACUGUACUACAUGGUUUUUCAUACUGGAGGUAUGCGGUUGAAGGAAUGGACAUUUAAUAAACCGACGUGUGCAAUGCUUUCUCAACUCUGAUACUUGAGCUUGUCCCAUGUGUGGGAUGCUGGCAUACAGUGCACACCUCUUCCUCUGCGCAUCCAGGCUGUGCAAAGCUGGUUGGGCCGUGUAUUAGGUUGGCAACUGGAAAACGUUGCACAACACACUAGCACUUUGAUUCUGCUAUUCAGGUGUUCUACGUUGCAGCCAGGUGUGUGUCCAAACAGACAGCCCAACAACCAGUUUCCUAGCUCUGCGCACUUUGUUGAUGGGCCCCAUUACUGUUGAUCCUGGAGCUGUGUUGUGUUCAGAGGUGCACUGGCCAGUGAGAAGCCCCCACUGCAACACUGCUGUAAAAGAUUAGUGCUUUAGGUUUCUUCAGUGUUGGGCCUCUUUUGUUGGACACAUGGAGUAGCACUGCGCAUUUACAACUGUCAAGAAAUACCGAAUGACCUGUCUUUCCUUGUGUUUUCUUCAAGUGCCCACACCACAGAUUUGCGACAUACUGCUAACGGGAUUGAAAGCAUGGGUACUUUUAUUUUCCUGGUGUCCAUACAUCUUUCUUUUUCUCGCCUAGGUGACAUUUAUGAAAAAUAUACAAUGCUUCAAAAGGAGUGUAAUAAACCGAGUUUGUUGCGCA